GACGCUGGCGGUAGGCUUAACACAUGCAAGUCGUGCGAGAAAGUAUCUUCGGAUAUGAGUAAAGCGGCGGACGGGUGAGUAACGCGUAGGAAUCUACCUAGUAGAAGGGGAUAGCCCGGGGAAACUCGGAUUAAUACCGUAUACCUCCUUUGGGAGAAAGAGGGCCUCUCUUUGAAGCUUUCGCUAUUAGAUGAGCCUGCGUAAGAUUAGCUUGUUGGUGGGGUAAAGGCUCACCAAGGCGACGAUCUUUAGCGGGUCUGAGAGGACGAUCCGCCACAUUGGGACUGAGACACGGCCCAGACUCCUACGGGAGGCAGCAGUGGGGAAUAUUGGACAAUGGGCGCAAGCCUGAUCCAGCCAUACCGCGUGUGUGAAGAAGGCCCUAGGGUUGUAAAGCACUUUAAGUUGGGAAGAAAAGUUAUUGGUUAAUACCCAAUAACCGUGACAUUACCAUCAGAAUAAGGACCGGCUAAUUCCGUGCCAGCAGCCGCGGUAAUACGGAAGGUCCAAGCGUUAAUCGGAAUUACUGGGCGUAAAGCGCGCGUAGGUGGUUUAUUAAGUUGGAUGUGAAAUCCCCGGGCUCAACCUGGGAACUGCAUCCAAAACUGAUUCACUAGAGUACGAUAGAGGGAGGUAGAAUUCACAGUGUAGCGGUGGAAUGCGUAGAUAUUGUGAAGAAUACCAAUGGCGAAGGCAGCCUCCUGGAUCUGUACUGACACUGAGGUGCGAAAGCGUGGGUAGCGAACAGGAUUAGAUACCCUGGUAGUCCACGCCGUAAACGAUGUCAACUAGCUGUUGGAAAACUAUGUUUUUCAGUGGCGCAGCUAACGUAGUAAGUUGACCGCCUGGGGAGUACGGCC
rnacentral:rRNA from 1 species